AGUCGACGAUACUCUUUAGCUUGCUAAGGAGGAAGUGGCGCACGGGUGCGUAACGCGUAUGCAACCUACCUUAAUCAGGGGGAUAGCCCGAAGAAAUUCGGAUUAACACCGCAUAAAAUCACAGCACAGCAUUGUGCAAUGAUCAAAUAUUUAUAGGAUUAAGAUGGGCAUGCGUGACAUUAGUUAGUUGGCGGGGUAACGGCCCACCAAGACCACGAUGUCUAGGGGAUCUGAGAGGAUGACCCCCCACACUGGUACUGAGACACGGACCAGACUCCUACGGGAGGCAGCAGUAAGGAAUAUUGGUCAAUGGAGGCAACUCUGAACCAGCCAUGCCGCGUGCAGGAAGACAGCCCUCUGGGUCGUAAACUGCUUUUAUUCGGGAAUAAACCACAUUACGUGUAGUGUGCUGAAUGUACCGAAGGAAUAAGGAUCGGCUAACUCCGUGCCAGCAGCCGCGGUAAUACGGAGGAUCCAAGCGUUAUCCGGAUUUAUUGGGUUUAAAGGGUGCGUAGGCGGCUUUUUAAGUCAGGGGUGAAAGACGGUGGCUCAACCAUCGCAGUGCCCUUGAUACUGAAGAGCUUGAAUGAAUUAGAGGUAGGCGGAAUGUGACAAGUAGCGGUGAAAUGCAUAGAUAUGUCACAGAACACCGAUUGCGAAGGCAGCUUACUAUGAUUUUAUUGACGCUGAGGCACGAAAGCGUGGGGAUCAAACAGGAUUAGAUACCCUGGUAGUCCACGCCCUAAACGAUGAAUACUCGCUGUUAGCGAUACACAGUUAGCGGCUAAGCGAAAGCGUUAAGUAUUCCACCUGGGG
rnacentral:rRNA from 1 species